rnacentral:lncRNA from 1 species
GUGGCUAAUCACUCAAUAUAUUCCAACAACAUGAAAUUUACACACCAUGCAAUACGAAUCCCUGCACAUGCACUGAUGCACACACACAUAUCUAGAGUUUUUCGCCUUUAUUCAGAUAUGAUGAGUGAACAGACAUUAUUAAUUAACUGGUGAAAGUAUUCACCCUCUCUGCUACUGUUAUCAAAUGCUCCAGUGUCAAUAUACAUAUUAGGUGUUCAUUCAGCAACCUCGAGAGAUCUCCGGCAAGUCGCACGUACGAUCGAGCUGGUUACUUGAGCAUCGGUGAAUCACUCAGGAGGACAAGGCCCAAACUUGUGCUGGUUGAAAUUAUGCGUGCAGUUGGAGGGCCCGGCGCCACCCUUCCCUUCGUCCACCGCCGGAAUUGACUCCGCGACGACACGACCGCGGUGGCCAUGCCCGCCACCUGCCUCGCCGUGCAGGCGUGCCGCGGCGACGGCGCCGCCUCGAGCCGAAGAAGAAGCGACCAAAACUAUCAUCGUCAGAAGCGUCAGAGCCACCGCCUUCUUCCUCAUUCCCGCUUGCAUUUCCGCCUCUCUCAGGUGCGAGACGAGGUAUGGAAUAAGGUCGCCUACCGAUCGAUGGCUG